ensembl:lncRNA
GGCGGGGGCGCAGGCAGGACCUCCCCCUCCCCUCCCCUUCCCCUCCCCUCCCCCGGCCGGUCCCCUCCUCUUUCCCCUCCCGCCGAGGGCAGCCGGCGCCGGCCCGUCCCGUCCCGGGGCUCGGUGGGCUCCGCUGCGCUUCCCCGGCGCUGCCCCCUCCCCAUGCGGGGGUCCCGGGUGGGCGGCAGCCCCGGCCCCCCCCGCCCCGCCAUGGCCCGGCUCUCUGUCAAGGAGCACCUGGACGGGAUCCUCUCCGACUUCGAAGCGCUCAAGAAGUCAUUUGAGGCAGAAGAUGGGGACGAGGCACCCGGCUGCCCCCUGUCCCCGCUGUCCUCAGGCACCGGCGAGAGCCACCAGCCACUGCAGCCCGGCCACCCGCCCCGCUUGGGCAGCGUCCCCGGCCCCAGCCCGGCUCCCAGCCCCGUGCUGCGGACCCGCCUGGCCACUGGCCUGGCCACCGGCCCAGCCAACGGCACCGCCGGCACCGGCAUCGCCCGCGCCGCCUCCUUCCAGGGCCGCCUGGCCUUCGCCACGGGGCCGGGCAGUGACGGGGAGAGCCAGCGCAGCUCAUCCUCCAGCCUGGAGAGCCCCGCGCCCACCGGGCCCCCCCCAGCCACCGGGCAGCCCCCCGGCCGCCAGCCCCGGCUUGAAGAAGGUCCCGUCCCAUGGCAGCGUCUUCCCGGUGGAGCUGGAUCAUCCCCUCCGCGGGGCCGCUGCCAGCCACGGCUCUCUGCCAGCGCUGGACCUGCACAUCGCCGAGGAACCGGGCUUGGGGACGCCGUGGGGCACCCAGAGCUCUGCACCCCAGCCUCGCACUCACCAGCCUUCCUCCUCAUCCUCCUCCUCCUCCUCCCUGCCCCCAUCCGAUGGCACAGAGACAGCCCCGGGGCUGCCCCCGCUCCCCGAGGGUCCGGGGGGGUGGGACACGGCCCCCCGCGUGGUGCCCCGGCCGCAGCGGAGGGUCACCCUCAGUGCCAGCCCCAUCCCGUCCCGCCGGCCCCCUCCUCAGCCCUGGGGACAGGGGGAGGCAGCCCCGGCCGCCGCCUCCGCGGGGAGGGCCGAGGGGCUGCCACCACUGCCAGCCCCCCAAGCCGCCACCUUCAGGCUGGUGUCGCAGCCGCAGACGGUGCAAGUGAGCUCCCAGCCCGCCUUCCUCGGGGGGCUGGUGCUGGUGCCGGCCCUGGGGAUGCCGGGGCUGAUGGGACCACGGGGACCCCGCGUGGUGGCAGCGGCUCCCGGCGAGGCCGCGGACGGCAGCGGCGCAGCGGUGACGCCAGAGCACGGUAGGACUCGCUCUUGUCCCCGUCCCCUCUCUCCAUCGGGCCCCCCUUGGUGGGCGCAGCGCUGCCAAAACCCCGCAUGAGCUGAUGCCAGGGAGAGCGUGGAGUGACAGUGACGCUGGGGACAGAAGGAGCCCCGCCAGCUCGCUGCUCCUCCGUGCCGGGGCCCAGGGGCGCGUUGGCUGUGGGGGGGCCGAAGGCGCGGAGCCGAGCGCGGAGCUGGCGGCGCUCCUGGCCCGCCCGUCCCCGGGGUGCCUGGCGAGCUGCCCGCACCGCCCCGGCGCUAAUUGUUUUUCGCGGCGCGGGCAGACAGGUCGGGACACAUGUGCCCCAUCGCGCCGGGCCCCGCGCGUGCCGCCUAUCGCCGCGAUCUUGUCCCGCGUCCAGCGCUUUCUUCCCCUCUCAUCCCUCCUUGCUUGGCACGGGCAUGGAUCCUGUUCCUCCCUCCCCGUGGGGCGCGGGAGGUGGCGGGGGGCCAAGGUGCGCCAGGGCACGCUCGGCGUGCGCCGAGUGCCGCGGGGAGCGGUGCCCGGCUCCCCGGCACGGCCGUGCCCUCGGCUCCCGCCGUGCCCUCGGCUCCCACCGUGCCGAGGUGGGCACUGCCAAGCCCAUGCCCGUCCCCAAGCACGGGGAGGGGGUACCCCGGUGUUCCCCUUCCCAGCGGCUGCUCCAGGAGGGCCGGAGGGCGCCGGGGUGGCCGGGAGACGGCUGCCACCGCCGGUGCUCCCUGGUUGGAUGCUUGGGGCUCUUUGCCCGUCUCGCUGGGCUGUCGUGGAGCCGCCGUCGCCGGGCCCUAAGUACUGACGCGGCGAAGGCAUCCAUACAUCUGCUCCAGGCCGCGGUGAAUCAUCCCCCAGCAAUGCUCGUGUCCCUGCUGUCCAGCCAGCCCGGCUGCCCCGCUGCCCGCGGCUCCCCGGGCGAGGGAUGAGGCUGGGGACGAGCCCGGGUCAUGAGGACACGGGGGAACAGAGCCUGAGGCUGAGCCAGAGUGAUGGGGACACUGGGGGACAGUGCUUAAGGCUGAGAGAGGUGAUGGGGACACUGGGGGACAGUGCUCAGGGCUCAGACAGGUGAUGGGGACAGGGAUAUGGUGUUCAGGGCUGAGUCAGGGGUGAUGGGGACACAAAGGGACAGCAGUUGGGGCUGCGACAGGGUGACAGGGACAUGAGGACAUGGUACUUGGGGCCAAGCCGGGGUGAUGGGGACACGAAGGGAAGGUGCUCAGGGCUUAGACGAGAUGACAGGGACACGGUGCUCAGGACCAAGCUGCGGUGAUGCAGCUGUGCUCAGGGCUGAGCUGGGGUCAGGGGGACACGGUGCUUGGGGCCAAGCCAGGGUCACAGGGAGACAAGGGACAGUGCUCAGGGCUGUGACAGGGACACGGUGCUCAAGAGCAAGCCGGGGAGAUGGGGAAAUGGGGACACGGCGCUUGGGAUGGAGCCAGGGGGAUGAGGGGAUGGUGCUCAGGACAGAGCUGUGUUGGUGGCCGGCAGCCAAGCGCAGCGUGCCCAGGCUGGGGGGGACACAUGAGCCAGAGGGCAGCGAGUGGCACCGGCUGCCCUGCAGAUGGCCCGGGCCUGGCAGGGGGCUGGCAGACACUGCUCGGGCACAGCGGUUUCUCUGCCAGGAAGAGGUGGGAACGUGCUGUUUCCUCUCCCGGGAGGCCACCCCGGCCCCCAGCCUCUGACACCCGUGGGUAGCCCCGGGGCGCCGAGGCACGGUGGGUCCCACACUCCAUAGGAGGAAGCUCCAAGUGAGCCGCCGGCCGCCGCAUUUCACUUCCACGCCGGGUCGCCCACGCAGGGCCCGGGGCGAGGAGGAGGAGGAGGAGCGGAGGAGGAGCCGUGGGCAGCAGCCGCCCUCUGCCUUGCACCCCAGGAGCCAUUUGGCCCCGGUGACCAGCUCUCGGCGGCAGCAGCCCCGGCUCCGGCCGGCUCGCCCAGGUAGGGAUGGCGUGGUGGCAGCGGGCAGGGCGGUGUGCGGGCAGGGAGUGCUGCCACCGGGGCUGGGUGACUGUCCCCUGUCCCCAGCAGUGCAGCAGGCGCAGGGUUUUGCUCCAUGGUUCACUUCUGCUUCUGCUCACCGACGGUCCCCAGCCACCCCCAGCCCCGUCCCGUGGCUCCCACCCGUGCCACGGCCAGACGGACGGGCUGGCUCCGAGUCCAGCUGCAGAUGGGGAUUGUCACCACUGUCCCCUUGGGUAGUGUUCGGCACUGGGAGAGGCACUGGUAUUUCUGGGUCAGCCCAGCUGGGCGGGUAGAGCUGUGGUGUGGCCGGGGCAGUGGGUGCAUCCCCAAAAUUCUCCAUCCCUUUGCCAGAGGGGUCAGCUCCCUUGUGCUGGAUCCGGAGCCACGCUCUCCCCAUCCCAUGCCCGGUCGCUCGGUCCAGAGCAGUGGUGAGCAGCUGGACAGGGAGCUCCCAUCCCAGCUCGUCCUCUCCCAGCACCCUCCACCCUUGAAGCUUUAUUACAGGCUUCCCGGGGAACUGGCCAAUUAACCCUGCAUCAGUAAUUAAAUCCAUGGAGGAGACCACGGACCCGGGAUUACUUGUCCCUGUCUGGAAAAUAAGAGCAUCUGUGAUGAGUCCUGGAACAGGUCUGGCUGCAGGAGCCAUUUGCCCCGGAGCUCCGUGGGGAUGCCAAAGAGUUUCCGCGUGGCCACCCGGCUGCUGGCCAUUGCCACCGGGGCUUUUUGGCAGUGAGGACAGGGGCACGGGGGGCUCUGGACCCGUGGGGGAGGCAGCCUUGGGCGCAGCACCCGGUGUCACCCCGGCCAUGCCCUCUGGCUGUGGGUGUCUCCUUGGUGCUGCCACUGGCACGGCGCAGGACAGUGGCUGAGCCCCUGCUCGGGGGCUGCACCCUGGGGACCACCCCGGGGAGCUGGGGGGUGGCAAGGAGCAACCCCUGCCUGCUCCCUGCCUGCAGUGUCCAGCCACCCUGCAGUGUCCAGCCACCCUGCCUGCAGUGUCCAGCCACCCUGGAUGGCUCCAGCGGCUGCAUCACUUGUUUCUGGAGCUGUCCUGGCAACAGCCAAGGAUGGCAGGGACUGGGAAGGGGGGCCAGGGUGGGGGUACAGGGGGCCGAUGUCCCCCGGGGAACAGGGUUGCAAUAGCUUUUGGGGUCCCCUCCCUGAUGGGGACCUCCCAUCCCACGUCCCUGCCAGCCUGUGGAACGCCCUGUGGGCACGGGCGGUGCUGGGUGGGUGGGUCCCGGCCGGAGUGGGCAUCCUGCCCUCCCCCAGCCCCCCCAGCCGGGUGUCACCGCUGUCACCAGGAAAUCCGCGGCUGUUUCACCACUUCCGAGGAACAUCCCGACCCACGGGGGCGCAGGGGGAGCUGGGACACGCGACACUGCUGUCCCCAGCCCUGCCACCACUCUGGCACCCAGUGGGCUCAGGGUGCUGGGUGGCUCCCACGCCGGGAUGCCGUUGCCAUGGCAAUGGGGGGGUGUUCAUCUCCAUCGCCUCCUGGUACCCCGGGCUGGCUCAGGCUGGCCCCUGCCCACAUGCCCCUUGUCCCCCGGCUGCGUGGCACACGGACAUGGUCUCAGCAGGUCCCUCACAGCCUGGGCCAUCGCAAGCUGCCGCUCCAGCCUCGCCGGUGCCAAGCGCCGGCUGGCACAUACGGGGGAGGCUGCGGCGUGGGGGGACGCAAGCGCCGUGGGGCACUGCGGCAGUGGGGCGAGUGGCAGGGCCACCACCCCUUGUCCCACCCCGCCGUGCCGGGGCUGGGCACAGGUGCUGCUGGGGGACGCAGGAGGGGGGGAGCACAGUGAAGGGUGGUCCCCGGUGCCAGGAAGCCCGUGGGUGCCAGUGGGGAAUGUACCCACAGCCAAGCACUCCCACUCCCAUUCAGUGCCACCGCAGCCACCCACGGGGGUGAUGGGGGCCGAAGUGAGGGUGUCCCUGUGCCAUGGGAGGGGUCCCCAUCCGUGCUGGCCUGGCUGGGAGGCCGAGCAGCGCCAUGUGCUGGGUGGGCACAGCCGGGUGGGCACAGCCUUCCCCACCCACCAAUCAACCGGCAAACCGGGCGCGGGGGCUUGGCUGUGGUGGGGAGGGGGCUGCGGGGGGCGGGAUAUUGCCAUGCUGGUCAUGCGUGGGAGCGGCAGCCCCGGCGGAGCCGGGUUGGUGCCAGCCGGGAGCCGACGGAGGGAAGGGGCCGGGCCGCGGCGCCGCCGGGGAUGGGGGUGCGGAUGGCGCCCAGGGCACCCCCCCGCCCGUAGCGGGUGCUGAGCGAGGGCACCGCGGCGCCGAG